rnacentral:rRNA from 1 species
AUUCUUCGGGAUACUAGUAAACUGGCGAACGGGUGAGUAACACGUAGGUAAUCUACCCUGGAGAUUGGGAUAACCCCGGGAAACCGGAGCUAAUACCGAAUAAUGCAGCGGAUCCUUCGGGAUAUGUUGUUAAAGCGGGCUUUUGCUCGCACUUUAGGAUGAGCCUGCGUCCGAUUAGCUUGUUGGUGGGGUAAUAGCCUACCAAGGCGAUGAUCGGUAGCUGGUCUGAGAGGAUGAUCAGCCACACUGGGAUUGAGAUACGGCCCAGACUCCUACGGGAGGCAGCAGUGGGGAAUUUUGCGCAAUGGGCGAAAGCCUGACGCAGCAACGCCGCGUGAUCGAUGAAGCUUUUCGGAGUGUAAAGAUCUGUCGUGAGGGAAGAAUAACUUGGAUGCAAAUAGUUUUCAAGUCUGACGGUACCUCAUAAGAAAGCACCGGCUAACUUCGUGCCAGCAGCCGCGGUAAUACGAGGGGUGCUAGCGUUGUCCGGAAUCAUUGGGCGUAAAGGGUCCGUAGGUGUCUUUGCAAGUCGUUUGUUACAUCCACCGGCUUAACCGGUGGCCUGCAAUCGAAACUGCAAGGAUAGAGUUCGAGAGAGGAAAGUGGAAUUCCUGGUGUAGCGGUGACAUGCGUAGAUAUCAGGAGGAACACCAAUGGCGAAGGCAGCUUUCUGGCUCGACACUGACACUGAGGGACGAAAGCGUGGGUAGCGAACAGGAUUAGAUACCCUGGUAGUCCACGCCGUAAACGAUGAGUACUUGAUGUCGGAGGAUUCGACCCCUUCGGUAUCGUAGCUAACGCGUUAAGUACUCCGCCUGGGGACUACGGCCGCAAGGCUGAAACUCAAGGAAUUGACGGGGACCCGCACAAGCGGUGGAACAUGUGGUUU